rnacentral:lncRNA from 1 species
CUGAACUCCCAUAGAGUUGCUGGUGGGAAUGGAAAAUGGUACAACCACUUUGGAAAACAGUUUGGCAGUUAAACAUACACAUACAUGACCCAGCAGUCCCACUCGUAGGUAUUUACUCUAGGGAAAUGAAAACAUACGUCCACACAAAUAUCUGUAGGAAGUGUUUAUAGCAGCUGUAUUUGUAAUUGCCAAAACUGGUAAAGGAAAAGCUUGUUCUACUCACAACACGUCUGACAUCCAUGUGUAGGUUUUCUUUUCUUUUCUUUUUUUUUCAAGACAGGAUCUUUCUCUUAUCAUCCAGGCUGGACUGUGGUGGCACAAUUAUGGCUCAUUGCAGCCUUGAUCUCCAAGGCUCACACCAUCCUCCAACCUCAGCCUCCCAAGUAGCUGGGACUAUGGGUGUGCACUAUCCUCAGCUUCAAGGAGACUCUGCAUUCAAAAGACCACUCCCGGGCACUGCCUUCUACCAACUUCCCCAUCCAACUCUGAUUGCAUCGGACCACUGUCUUCCCUCCAUGCCUCCAGCCCUGAGGUUGUCAACGGGGUGCUCCAGCCUCCAUGUGCACCCUGUGACUUCCUUCAUCCUAGUCCUGCUGACCCUCGUGGCUUCUCCUGCUCCAAGGCCAAGCUCGGGACCCUGUCAUCAUCCCCGGGGACAGGCCCCAUCUUAGAGAGAAUCCACCCAGCUCCCCACUCCUGAGCCAUCUUCCAGCUAUCCCGCCUCGAGACUCCCACCGCACCUGCUCCUGGGCUGCAGCUGCACCCAACAAGUCAACAUGUGGAUUGCUUCUAGAAUUUGGAUAUUAUGAACACUGCUGUGCUGAACAUUCUUGUACACUUAUAUGGUUUGGCUGUGUCCCCACCCAAAUCUCAUCUUGAAUUGUAGCUCCCAUAAUUCCUAUGUGUCGUGGGAGGGACCCAAUGGGAGGUAAUUGAAUCAUAGGGGCAGGUCUUUCCCCUGCUAUCCUUGUGAUAGUGAAUAAGUCUCAUGAGAUCUGAUGGUUUUAUACAUGGGAGUUCCCCUGCACAAUACAUGGGAGUUCCCCUGCACAAGCCCUCUUGUCUGCCACCAUGUAAGAUGUGCCUUUGCUUCUCCUCUGCCUUCCACCAUAAUUGUGAGGACUCCCCAACCAUGUGGAACUGUGAG